AGUGAACGCUGGCGGCAGGCCUAACACAUGCAAGUCGAGCGGCAGCGGGUCCUUCGGGAUGCCGGCGAGCGGCGGACGGGUGAGGAAUGCGUCGGAAUCUGCCUUUUUGUGGGGGAUAACGUAGGGAAACUUACGCUAAUACCGCAUACGACCUACGGGUGAAAGUGGGGGACCGCAAGGCCUCACGCAGAAAGAUGAGCCGACGUCGGAUUAGCUAGUUGGCGGGGUAAAGGCCCACCAAGGCGACGAUCCGUAGCUGGUCUGAGAGGAUGAUCAGCCACACUGGAACUGAGACACGGUCCAGACUCCUACGGGAGGCAGCAGUUGGGAAUAUUGGACAAUGGGCGCAAGCCUGAUCCAGCCAUGCCGCGUGUGUGAAGAAGGCCUUCGGGUUGUAAAGCACUUUUGUCCGGAAAGAAAUCCUGUCGGCUAAUACCCGGCGGGGAUGACGGUACCGGAAGAAUAAGCACCGGCUAACUUCGUG
rnacentral:rRNA from 1 species